rnacentral:rRNA from 1 species
UACGAAGGGUGCGAGCGUUGUUCGGAAUUACUGGGCGUAAAGGGUUUGUAGGCUGAAAUGUAAGUCAAGUGUGAAAUCCCCGAGCUAAACUUGGGACGUGCAUUUGAAACUGUGUUUCUUGAGUAUCGUAGAGGGUGGUGGAAUUGUAGGUGUAGGAGUGACAUCCGUAGAGAUCUGCAGGAACAUCAGAGGCGAAGGCGACCACCUGGCCGAUUACUGACGCUGAGGGACG